GUAACUUAUCAUUUGCCCCUUUCUUUCCAGUAAAUGUGAAAGAUACGUGAAACAGACUUUAGCAAGGGACAGGAAGGAUUAUAAAGAACUGAUUGUGUUACGAUGAAGGGCAAUACUGCUUGUCUAUUAGUAUGUGAUUUGGGACUUUACCCAACUGUAAGGCCACAGAGUUGGACUAGAUGGCCUCUGAAUGGGGUGACCACACGGCCCCAUUUGCCAGGGCAGCCCUGGCUUAUAUCUGUGGUGCCAAGGCAAUGACUAUUAGCAUCCUUCCCACUUUAAAGUGUUACACUGUGGGUCAUAAAUUCCAAGGCUGCCUUAUACAAGGCUCUUUCCAGGUCUCAAUUUCUAUGAUUUCCAUUUGGAUAUAAUAAUUCCUUUGACAACUGAAGUAACAUGAAUUUUUUCCCCCUAGGUCUAUGAAGUAGAAGGGGCUGACAGCACCUGAGGUGACUUUCGUCUGGAGGUUGUUUGCAUUUCUCAUGGGAAUGAUUUUUCUGCUCUUACUGUUUUCCUUUAAAAGUACACUAGUAAAUCCCCUUCUAGUCAA